rnacentral:tRNA from 1 species
UGGCUCAGUAGUAGAGCGCUUGCCUUGCAUGCAUGAGGCCUUGGGUUCGAUUCCUCA